UGUAUAAAUAUACAAAGAUUUUAAGAACAUUAACGGCAUUAAACUUGAGUGUUCCUGUGGUCAUUUCCACCUAAUAUCCUGAACGUAUUACCACCUGUGUAUGUACCAGAGCGUGAAAUUUGAAAUUCCAGAGAACCGCGUGACAUGAAUCAGGAGACGGAAAUGGUGGACAAGGUGUAUUUUACUACACAAAAAAAUAACCCACCACAAUUUGUUUAUAAUUAUAGGCCCAUUGUAUAUUCGUGAUGUGCACUAUCAACGAAACUACUAAGGCAAAAUAUUGAUGAAGUAUAACCAAAUUUUAUCCCAAUUUGCUCACGUAAAUAUGAAUCCGUAAAAAGUGUUGGCAUUCAUUGUCAGUCUUGGCCCAGCCAUCUUACCUUUGAACCAGACGCAAGUAAAAGAAGAUAUCUAUGGACAGUGAUUCCAUUUCAACUGGACCUGCCAAGCCAUUGCAUUAAGAAUCGAUUAAACGUCAUCAGGGUCCUGAUUGGCCUGGUAAUUCAAAACAAGAACAAACGUCACUUCGGCAUUAAUUAUUUACAAUGCAAUUGGAACGACUAUUAAAGACGGCUGUGUUUUUUUUCAAGUUCAU